rnacentral:rRNA from 1 species
CUACGGGCGGCAGCAGUGGGGAAUAUUGCACAAUGGGCGCAAGCCUGAUGCAGCCAUGCCGCGUGUAUGAAGAAGGCCUUCGGGUUGUAAAGUACUUUCAGCGGGGAGGAAGGGAGUAAAGUUAAUACCUUUGCUCAUUGACGUUACCCGCAGAAGAAGCACCGGCUAACUGCCGUGCCAGCAGCCGCGGUAAUACGGAGGGUGCAAGCGUUAAGCGGAAUUACUGGGCGUAAAGCGCACGCAGGCGGUUUGUUAAGUCAGAUGUGAAAUCCCCGGGCUCAACCUGGGAACUGCAUCUGAUACUGGCAAGCUUGAGUCUCGUAGAGGGGGGUAGAGUUCCAGGUGUAGCGGUGAAAUGCGUAGAGAUCUGGAGGAAUACCGGUGGCGAAGGCGGCCCCCUGGACGAAGACUGACGCUCAGGUGCGAAAGCGUGGGGAGCAAACAGGAUUAGAUACCCCAGUAGUC